rnacentral:snoRNA from 1 species
AUGAUGAGAACUCAUAGCUGGCACCAGUCAGACGGGGAUGUUUUUACGAAUUCAUCUUCCAUGCUGAGUAGCUUGCGGUCCGGGA